rnacentral:rRNA from 1 species
AUCAUGGCUCAGAUUGAACGCUGGCGGUAGGCCUAACACAUGCAAGUCGAACGCGAAAGUCCUUCGGGAUGAGUAGAGUGGCGACGGGUGAGUAACGCGUAGGAAUCUAUCCUGUAGUGAGGGAUAACGUUUCGAAAGGAACGCUAAUACCGCAUACGCCCUACGGGGGAAAGCGGGGGAUCUUCGGACCUCGUGCUAGAGGAGGAGCCUGCGUCGGAUUAGCUAGUUGGUGAGGUAAAGGCUCACCAAGGCGACGAUCCGUAGCUGGUCUGAGAGGAUGAUCAGCCACACCGGAACUGAGACACGGUCCGGACUCCUACGGGAGGCAGCAGUGGGGAAUAUUGCGCAAUGGGCGAAAGCCUGACGCAGCCAUACCGCGUGUGUGAAGAAGGCCUUCGGGUUGUAAAGCACUUUCAGUGGGGAGGAAAAGCUGGUGGCUAAUAUCCAUCGGCCAUGACGCUACCCACAGAAGAAGCACCGGCUAAUUCCGUG